AGAGUUUGAUCAUGGCUCAGGAUGAACGCUGGCGGCGUGCUUAACACAUGCAAGUCGAGCGAAGCGCUUUACUUGGAUUUCUUCGGAAUGACGAGUAUUGUGACUGAGCGGCGGACGGGUGAGUAACGCGUGGGUAACCUGCCUCAUACAGGGGGAUAACAGUUAGAAAUGACUGCUAAUACCGCAUAAGACCACAGCACCGCAUGGUGCAGAGGUAAAAACUCCGGUGGUAUGAGAUGGACCCGCGUCUGAUUAGCUGGUUGGUGGGGUAACGGCCUACCAAGGCGACGAUCAGUAGCCGGCCUGAGAGGGCGACCGGCCACAUUGGGACUGAGACACGGCCCAAACUCCUACGGGAGGCAGCAGUGGGGAAUAUUGCACAAUGGGGGAAACCCUGAUGCAGCGACGCCGCGUGAAGGAAGAAGUAUUUCGGUAUGUAAACUUCUAUCAGCAGGGAAGAAAAUGACGGUACCUGACUAAGAAGCCCCGGCUAACUACGUGCCAGCAGCCGCGGUAAUACGUAGGGGGCAAGCGUUAUCCGGAUUUACUGGGUGUAAAGGGAGCGUAGACGGAGAGGCAAGUCUGAUGUGAAAACCCGGGGCUCAACCCCGGGACUGCAUUGGAAACUGUUUUUCUAGAGUGUCGGAGAGGUAAGCGGAAUUCCUAGUGUAGCGGUGAAAUGCGUAGAUAUUAGGAGGAACACCAGUGGCGAAGGCGGCUUACUGGACGAUGACUGACGUUGAGGCUCGAAAGCGUGGGGAGCAAACAGGAUUAGAUACCCUGGUAGUCCACGCCGUAAACGAUGACUACUAGGUGUCGGGUGGCAAAGCCAUUCGGUGCCGCAGCCAACGCCAUAAGUAGUCCACCUGGGGA
rnacentral:rRNA from 1 species